AGCAUUCAAAAGGAAAAGUGAGUGACUGUGGCAUCUGGAAUGAGAUAAACAGCAAAUACAUUUGCAUGAUCAAACACUAUUUUUUUUUUUUUACAUUUCUCCACAGAGAAUGUAAUAUUAUUCACAGAUUCAUUACAGAUAAGCAGUUUGUUAAGCUCUCAAAGACUCAGAUUUGCAUGUCAAUAAUAAGCCUCGAACUGGCAUUUAUUGAAAGUGCUAACAUUUCUAAUGGUUUCAGAAUAUUUAAAAUAGACUCCUAUGCAAACAUGAAUCAAAAUGGAAACUUUUUUUUUUUUUUCAAAAUUAAAAAUAUCAGACCUUUUAAUGAGAACUGAAUAAUUACCUAACAAUUUACCCUUAAAUGAAAUACUUGUUGACUGGAUUAGUUUUAUGAAAUUGAAAAUGUUUUUUUGUGACAGCACAAAGUUUAUUUUGACAUAAUACCUGCAUUCUAAGUUCUUUUUGAUCACUGGAAGCCACAUUCUCCUCGUUAUUAAUCUUCUUCUCAAGAGAAUGGGAAAAACGUAUCUCAGAGGAACUUCUUAAUUUUAUCAGUUAGUCUCCUUCCAGAACAAUAACUUUCUAAGUUACACUAUCCAUAUUUUAAUGGUCAGUUACACAGAUAUGAUAUAAUGAUAAAAAUUAACCCUGAAUUUGGGAAUUUGAGAUAAAAGUUUAUGAUGGUUAAAAUGGUAUGCUAGGUUGAAUCUGGCUUUUUCACCAACUAGAGAGAUUAGACUGAUAAAGAGUAGAGCUCAGAAAGCAUUACAUGCUGCAGAGGUUGAAUUCUAGCCUGACAUUUCAGAUGACAAAGAAGUUUUCUGCAGUUUCUGGCCUGAAAAAUCUAAUUUAGUGCAGAAGUGUAUUUAAAUUUGUUUGAAUACCUUGCUACGGCUACAGUUAAAAUAUUGUGCCCUUUACAAGAAAAGGAACUGAAGUCUUGCAGAUUAUUUCUUUUUUUGGUUUCUGUGUAUUUUUUAGAACAUUAUUUUCUAGAUAGUUGGAAAUUUUAAACAAUAUAUUUAUUCUCUUUUCUAAUGACCUCUUUUUUUUCCUUUCACUCUAUGGAACAAUGGCAUGUAUAAUGGCAAUAUGAGAAGCAAAGCCCUCUAGACUCGAUUCUGAAAAAUCUAAAUAAAAGGACUCCUAGGAACACUCCUAUGGAUUGGAAGGCUUACCAUGAGAAAGGGAAACGGCAUGCAUGAAUUUUUAAGAAAAUAUUGAACGCCCUUCUUCUACACAUAGCAGGAUGCCUCUGCUUCUUCAUUUUACAGGGCCCAGAACAAAACUUACAUAUUUUUAAUCUCAUUAAAAUACUUAUUUUGAUGCAACAUACUGUUUGAAAGUCCUUUUAUAUUGACUAAUGAAAACUUAUUUAGUUAUAUGUCCAGAUUCCCUUUUCUAUUGCUCUGCAGGGCAAAUGGAGAGAAACUGAUCAGAACUAUCAAUUAAUACAGGCAGCUGUGGUAGCAGGGAGGUUCUGAAAAGGAAGAGGGGAUUUACAUCAGCAAUAAAUUUGUGCUAUCCCUAACUAGGAUAUGAAAACAUAGUAUUUUUUGUUAGGUAUAGUAUAGUUAAACUCUAACCUUAAAUUUGUGUUAGUUUCAAAAAGGGAACUGAAGAUGUUUCAAGCUCUUCUUAAACAGGAAAGAGGGAGCAAUUUUUCCUUGCUCAGUAUCCUCACUGUGAUGGGACUAAAUAACCACUGGGUGUGCAGGUGCUGUGAAAAUCUACUCUUUAUGUCCAGUGAUUUCAGAACUGUGUACUUACUUCCUCUUCAGAAUCUUUCAGAGGUGACUAAAAAGGCCUUUCCUCUGCCCCAUAUACAUCUGUGAGCAUGUUGAAAGGAAAGCAGGUUUGAAAUAAAUUCUGAAAUUGUCAGGGUUGAAUGAGUGCAACUGAGGGCAAAUAGGAUUCAAUACACAGGACUUCAAACAGAGUAAAAUUCAUGCCUUCAAGUGAGCAGACUCUUAACACUGGAUCCUGUAUUUCAUGGAAAACAUACAGUAUUUACAAAUGCCUUACACCUUGAGACUGAGAAUGUACAUGAUACAUUCUCAAAUGAUUAUGCUGCAGACACCUUAUUUGUAAAGCAGGUGUGUGGGAAUAUGUUCAAAUACAUUAGUAUUCACUAUGGAAACAGUGGUCACAGUCUAAUGCUCAGUAUAACUAGCCAAGCUAAAAUGGCCUGAAAUACAAAAUUGGAGCAUCUAUUUUUUCUGAAUUUCUCUGAUGAAGAAACAUCUUGAUGAAGAAGCAUGUCAAAGGUGAGAACAGAAAGAUAUGCAUGUGAGUGUAUGCAGAGUUUAAGUGGAACUUGGCCAUGACCUGCUUCACAUGCUUCCUCUGUCCUCUCCUUUAAAGCAAGCCUAGAUUUUUCUAUUUAUGGUUCUCUUUAGGGGACAAAGAGGAGCUGAAUAUAUAUCUUUGUACUCCACAGCUGGUAUACUAUUCCAACAACAAAUAAACUAAAAUUGAUUUUCAGUUAACUGAGAAGUCCAUCAUUUUGAAAACGAUUAUUUUAAAGUGCUUUCAUUUGAUAAAUUAAUUUUACCAAGUUAAUAAAAAGUAAAACAGCUUAGCAAGAGUAGCAUUAUGCAAGAGUAGUUUUAGUUCUGAAGCAGGAUUUUCUAACUUGGUUAGAUGUAGGCUUCUUGGAUAAAUGGGUUUUAUAACAGAAGUGCUCUCUCAUUCAUGUGUGUAAUAUUACAUUCCUUGUGUAAACAGGGCAUUGCAAGUUGUUUAUUACAGCACUUGUGAUAUGAUCUAAUACAACAGGAUUGUGAAAAGUACAUAUUCAGCACUGAAAACUGCAGAAGUCUUUCUCACGAGCACCCUUCUCCCCUGCAGGGCCUGGAGGACCCUGAGGUCCAGGACGACCUGGUAGACCAAUUGGACCAGCAGUGCCUGCUGCUCCACGUUCCCCUGGUGAACCCUACAAAGAAAGAAACGUUAUAAGAGAAUUCUGAUUUAGUGAUGUUCACGAUCCUGGUCAACAUUUCACAUCUUUGGCCAACAAAGAAGACAGCUGUACUACCCACACCUGGGAGGCCUUGUUCACCCGGUGGGCCAGGAGGACCUGGAUGACCUCUUUCACCAAUUGGGCCAGUCUCACCAGUAGGACCCUAAGCACAAAGCAUUUCCUGUGACAGAAGCAUCCGCUGGUGAUAAAUAAAGUACAUUUUGGCAGAGAUUGAUGGAUUUUAAUCACUCAGUAAGAUGCAAGAAAAAGUUGCUUUUUUGAACUGCCCAGUCUCCACAGGUAUUAAAUAUACUCUUGUUUUUCAGAUUAGAUUUAAUGUGGAACUCUAAAAAGAGUAUACAGGCUAGAUAAAGGGUGAUGUAGGAAAGUAUGAAGAUACACAGAAUCUUUUGGCAUCUGAGCCUGAAAGACAGAUCUCUAGUGCUCAAAUCAAGGCUUUUUGGCUUCUACUUUAGAAAUACAGUUAUAAAUAUAUACAUAGUAGCCACAAGGGUAAAUUUUCCUUUGUGGACAGGAGAUAUUAAUUACGUCUAUUGUCUGUCUCUCAUUCUGAGUGCUGAGGAAAUUUGGACAUUAAACCAGUAUUGGCUGUAGCUUCAGCCACUUCAGAUUGCUAGAAGUCAGUAGAGAUGUUUGCUAUAGUAAGAGCAUUUGCUCUAUGCAAAGAAAUGAAAGUACUGGCAAUGUAAAAACUUUCUUUAUAUAUAUGCAUCUGACCAGGGCUGUCUAUCACUCUGGCAAAGCCAAAGACCUAGGUAAAAAAUGCCUGAAACCUUGAAAGCUUUUGAAAGAUUUGAGUACAUAAAAAAAACAAAAUCUAGCCUACAGCAUUACCAAAACAAUAGAAUGACGCUAUUGUUACCACAAAUCUCUUGAAUGGAAUGAGCUUUUCAGCAUCUACUAUAAUAUACAUUAAUAAGAGAAAGGAUGUCAAAUUAUCUACUUGAGAUCAAUUUAGAGAUUACUUAAAUUGCUGUCAAGAGGAUCCAAACCCACUUUAACAAAGGAACGUUUUCUAAUUGUAUUGUUCCAGUGUAAAUAAUCAUAGAGGACACAGAUUUACAAAUUGGGCUUGGUAUGUCCUUGGUAUGUAAGUCAAAAAUAAACUGCUGCUGCAAGGGAAAACACACAACAGUGGAGACAGAAGAGGCUGCAGUGAAAUAAUGAACACAGAAAAAGAGAAAGGAAUUAAAAG